GAUUGCACUACUAAAUUGUAGUACAGUGGAAUAUUAUAUAGCAAUAAAAGUGACCAAGCCUCACCUACGCUUAACAGCAUAGUUUUGAACUGAAGAAGGAAGAAUAUUCAGGGUAUAAUUUCAUUUAAAAAGUGAAAAUCAGGCAGUAUAAAUCUAUAUUAUCUAUCAAAUCACCCUUGACUUUUGCUUUUUUCCAUUCCCACUCCUGGGUUUCUCACCAUAUUUUGAGAGUGUCAUAAAUUUACAUACUAUAAAUUCAAGCUAUGUCAUUUUAAAUGUGCUCUCAUCAUUAUUUAAUAUAUUAUCAUAAAAAAUAGAGUUUAUGCAAAAAUCCUAUUACCUGAGAUAAAGCGAAUCACUUUGAAAUAAAAGAAAAACAAUGAAAUGAAGCGAAGGAGAUGAGAAUUACAUUAUCGAAACAACUUAGUCAUUUAUAUGUAAAAUUGUUGAGUGAUUUGCCCAAGAUUAUGCAGCUGAAAUGGACGGAGCUAAAAUUUUAAUCCAGCCAGUUUUGCUCUAAAUCACAGGUUCUUAAACUUUAGCAUGUAGCGCAAUCAUUUGGAGGUCUUGUUCAAACUCAGAAUGCUGGGUGCAUCCCCUGAGUUUCUGAUUCAGUAGGUCUGAUGUCAGGCCUGAGAAUCUGAACUCCUAACAAAUUCCCAGGAAAUGCUGAUUCUAGUAGUCCAGGGACCUCACUUUGCAGAGGACACCUGGUUUAGAUAAUGAGAAUAAUAAGAAUUAUCUUAUAGACUAUAUAAGCACAUGCACACACACACACAGACACAUACACACAAAUACUUAAAGGAUUACUGCCUUCAAAUAGGUCAAACACUUAGAGUGCUAGGUGCAUAAUAUUCACUGCAUAAAUGUCAUUUUUUUUUAUUAUUACUAUUCCUCUAGAAGCAACUCUCAGUGAGCAUUGAGGUCACCUUGAACAGUCAUGUGAAAGUCCCACAUGGUAUGUCAUCCUCCUCCCUUUUCCCACUGCAUGCUCCCGGGUCUUCAUCUUUUGCCAUGUGGAUGGGCAGAAUUCUUUUCUCGGAAUCUUCUCAUUCUUCAGAAAGGAGAAUCCAAGAGAUCCACGAACUGCUCUCUUGCUACUAGACAUUGCUCUCCAUGGAAUAUCUUCAGCAUGUUGCUGGUAAAUAUCAACUUCCCAGUGGGGCUGAGGACGAGAAGAGCAAAAAGAUUGAAAGAGUCAGAGCCCCAUCCUGCUGCAUCAAAAUGCCUCGCUAAAAAUCCUUCAACCGCUGCUGAUGACUCCUGUGAGAAAGAAAAUCGAAGAGAAAAGUUGAAAAUAACUUGCAAGAAUACAAGAAGGUUUGGACUGGCAGACAGGAAGUCUUAG
rnacentral:lncRNA from 1 species